GUGUUUUAAAACGCAAAUACCUCAUUUGUAGUGAUCUACCAAUCUGCUCAGUACAUGUGAAAGCUAGCUAACCUAAAACAUCAGCUACAUUAUUAUCUACUACUUCUUAUUCUUCCACUACUGUAGCUAAAAGACCGCCAAUUACGUUCUGACACGUGUCCUGCUUUUACUUACUUUGUUUUUUUUAUUUUUUUUUUCAAAUUGACAGACACAAUACGACGUCGUUUUUGAGUUUCUUCUCAUGUCUCAUGAAUCCCUUUCGCGUGUAUGCUCUUCCACCUCCAAUCAACCCACUCUGCCAGUCUGCCGUACCAUGCUUUUCUUCCCUUUCUACCCACUCUGUCGUCCUUCUUCAUCACCUUCCUUCCAAUCAACCCUAGCUGGCUUACUCUUUCCACCCACUUCUCACAAAUCCAUCAAUUGCGUCCUUUCCGAUUGAUCUGAUGAGGCUCCUUACCGCCGCCGGUUGCUGUUUGCCAGACGAUUUAUAUAUGGUGGAACCAUUCACGGUUCUACACCUCAAACUAUACACUGUUCAUUCGUCAUUUUUGCACCUCUUCGCUGAUUUCGUCAAUACGUCGCCUGCCGCCGGUUCACAUUAGAGGCUUCUUUUUUUUCUUCAGAUCAAUUUGGCUAUAAAUAUCCCCUCAGUUCUCAUUCAACCACACUUCUCCCAAUUGGGUCGUCUCUGAUUCUCACCCAAGUUUGUGUGCGACACAGGAGGUUACAUCGCAUACUCAGAUUUAGAGGCAAAACCUGAUACAAAAUCUAAAGAGGUCAAGUAAAGAUUGUUGAUCCAAAGAAAGAUGAGGAAGAGGAUGAAUAAUGAGAGGAUGUGUCUGGCUACGAAGAUGAUCUUAUAAGUUCUGAUGGAGUAUUGUUCUCACUCUGGGUUUAAAUCUCUUUUUUUCGUAGUUUAUUACUGUAUGUGUGGGAUUUCAAGAUGCUUUUUUUUUUUAAAUUCAAUGUUCCCAAGAUCAAACAGAAUGCUUUUACAAAAGAUAUUGGUAAUGAAGUUACCUUUCCUUUUGAUUUUAAGUUCUUCUAAUGUCCAGUUUGAAUCUAAGUUGGAGGUUUGGAUGUGGGCUAUUAUAAAAUUCAUCAUAAAUAGAUGUCUGCAAAAGUAUUAUUUGCUUCAUUAAUUUAAUCUCUCCUUCCCAUAAUCCCAUUGGCACAGUUGCAGUUUCUCUAUUACAGCAUCUAGCAAACAUGUGUUUUUGGGACUGGGAGAUUCAGUCCUCAAAUUCUCUUUUUUUCUUCAAAUUUACCACUGAACAAAUGGUUUCUUAUAAUAAUAUGCAUAAAAGACAAAUCUCAAUCAAUCUUGAUGAAUAUUGUUCUGUUUAGAGUAGACACAAGGAAAAGAAAAUAAAGACCACUUGAUGUGUUUUUGAAGAUUCGAGGAAUGUAGUGUGUCAUUUUGAAACUUGUGUGUAAAAACAAAUGUUUCUCUUUCUUGAUAAAUAGGGAAUAUUAUACUACUUCUGCCUAUGUUGAUGAUCAUUAUAUCUUCAUCUUCACAUGUCACUCUUUCUUGUGUUUAUCUUCUCUAGCCUUAUUUUUCAUUACUUCUCUAGCCUGAUUUUCCAUUGCAUGAUGCAGGGAGACUGUCAAAAUUAUUUUUAGUCCUCACUUUGAGAAAUGUAAGUUGUAGUUGGAUCAACUUUUACCUUGAAAAUGAUAAUAGAGUUCUUAUUUGUUAACUGGUUUGUAUAUUGCAACCUUUUUGUGUUUCUUCAACCUUCUCUUUAUCUUGCUUUUUAGUUUAUUGGCAUUCUUACAUGUGUUUGAAUUAGCAAUCUGGUUUCAGGACUCGAGUAUGUACCAUUUUAGCAUGUUUCACGCCUCGCACCAUAUUGUACUUGUACCUGCCUGCCAGCAAAGAAGAGAUAGAAGUUGAAGCAUCUUCUGUGAAGGGGGUUUCUGUGCAAAGGGAAGAGUUUAAUUGAUGAGUGUGAGGUUGAUUUAUUGCUUUUAAAAAGUCAAUUUAUGAGACAGAGCAUUCAAGGGAGUUCAAGUGAUUUGGUUACCGGAUAUAUGGACUAUGGGGUGGAUGCCAUCAUAGAGCAGUGAAGAGGAAAAGAAGUAGGAACAAACUUCUACCAGAGCUAGAAUCAGUUGUUUCUUGAUCUAGAAAUGGAAGCUCUAAUGCAUGAACUUGAUGAGGAAGAGAUGCAAAUGGAUGAAUUAGCAAAGAGGGAAAAGAAUCCACUCCUUGAGAUGUUGAUGCUGCUAAACCUGUUGAAAAGGGCUCAUGACAAACUGCAGCUGUUAAACGUGAUGAAAAUAUUAUACAGAUAGAGAAUAGUUGGUUGGUUGUUUCAUACAACUAUUGGUAGAUAGGGAUAAUGAGGUAUGGCAGGCAUCAAAUCAUGAAAGGUGAUCAUGAAAAGGCUACAUCUUCUCAUUUGAUACUGUGCUGAAAAACAAAAGACUUUGACUUGGUAUUCAUGCUAUGAAUAAUAUUGUUAUAAGUUUUCAGGCUGCAAGUACUUUUAAAGUUGGUCUCUUUACUCUCAAGAGCUAUUGAUAAUACAAUUUGGUUUUAGAGUAGUGUAAUCUAAUUUGUUUGUCAUCUGCUACCUUGAUGUUCAUUAUGGUUUUCACACGGUUCAAUCCCUAUUGUUAGUGUUGUAUUAGUUUUGGCAGGAUAAU